AACAAACCUCAGCUUUCAUUCAUUCCUGAGUGACAAUAGUCUCCAAAAGAAAUAGGUGCUGCUGUGUGAGGACGAAGUGAACAACACGACCAUUCGGCUCCUCAGCCAGGUGCACCGGAUGCUGCAGACAGCAGCUGGAGGCUGAAGUAAAGGAGCUGGAUAAAGAUUUUAUCACCCUUCAAGAUGACAGCAACUAUGCUCAGUGAGGCCGGACGAGCUGAAGGAGUUGGCCAGAGAGGAACACCAGUCGAUCAGGAAGAGAGACGGCAGCUGGUGUGAUCGAGCAGACACUCUGAAUUUCUUCCGUUUUACACACACGCCCACACACACACGCCCAGUUUGAACAACGGAGCGUCUGCAAAUUUGUCUGAGUAAUGGGGCUUUCACACCGAAAGCAAGAGCUGAACGCCUCCCAACGCAUCAGUGACGUCAAACGCAUCACUUCGGAAGCAGCAAGGGGGGCGGAGAUUGCUACGUCACACUCUGUUUCUGCUGUUUCCACAAACCGAAAAAAGCUGAGUGACUGCCAUCUUGGAUUUGCACCUGUAGAACCAUGAAAAUGCUUUUAAAAACAGCAGAACGAUUCUCCUCCCAUCACCCUGCUGGGAGAAGAUUUUAUCAUCUACUUUCCGGAGUGACGCGGAGCCGAGGGAGGACUGGCGACUUGGUGGGUUAUUGUGACGGCCCCUGCGGCCGUCUUAAUGUGUUUAUAAUUGUUUUACUGUCUGUCAUGUGUUUUGAGGUCCUGGCCACCAGGAGGCGCUGGUGUGGUCCCCUGCCUGGGAGGACAAAAGGGGUUUCUGCCUCUUUCACUCUCUGCUGUUGCCUUUGGUGCUGCUGCUCCUCCUCCCUCCUCUGGAUUGCGGCUGGGAGAGCGGUCGCGGGCGUCUGGUCCUGGCUGGGCUUUUUUUCAUCACGCCAUGCUUUUGUUUUUCCUUUUCCUUUUUCUUGUUUUAAUAAUAAAUAUUGGUUAUUGGUUUUAAAAACCCUGGUGCUCUCGCAUGUACCUCAGUAGUUUUGUUGCCGGCUUGUGAGCCGAGCAAUAACAAAUGGGGGCUCGUCCAAACAGGUUUUUGGCGUUUUUGCUUUCCCUGGACUCGUGUGGUGAUGCACGGUAAAGUUUGGGGUGAGCGGCGGCGUCUUAUUGUUACAACUGGUGCUUGUUUGGCGGUGAUCUGCUGUGGAGUGGAACAGGUGCAUCGGUGUGCACGUGUGACUCGCAGCAGGUGGCGGUGAGGACACACGGGAGCGUGUUUGGUUUUUUCCUCAAUCUUUGGAUGGCGUGGUGCGUUUUGUUGAACACAACGAAGAGAAUAGGGGUAAGUGGAGUGUGUGACUUGUGCACGAGUAUUGAGCUCUGUUUUGUAGCUGUGUCUCCUGGUGAGGUAAGAGGCUUUGCUGCUUCACGCAUGGCCCGUUUGGUUUUUUUCGAUAGUGUCGUGGGGGUGCGGUUGGAGUUUUCACUGUGGGUCACAGUGUUCUCGGGAGCAGUCCAGGAGAAAAGAAAUAUUUUCUCGCUGGUUGUGUGCUUAAUCAACACGCCGCCAAACCACGUGAAGAGUUAGGUAAGUUAAUUUGGUGCAGCUUGUUAAGCAGGUGUAGAAUAAAGGGGACACGGUUGCAUUGAGCGUCGUGCUGUGCACGUGCGAGCGCUUCAAUUUGUAGUCUAUUAACUCAGUUUGUGUGUGAUUACGUGGUGUGGUGUGUGCGUGUAUUUUUGGCCAGUCAUGGAUGUGGAGGUGGAGGGUUUUGUGGCUAGUCCCACAAGGGAAAAGCUUGAGGUUUUCGUCAAAGAUAAUCUGCUGGCAAUUGCGGCUCAUUUUGACAUUCCAGUUACAAGCCAGGAUAAGAAGGAAGCUAUUAAACAACAAAUUGAUGACACGUUGGUCGCAAAGGGCAUGUUUUUUCCUGCUGCGUCAGAGGUGAUCCAGGUGGCAGAUGACACAGCUGACACGCAUUUGUGCAAAUAAGAGCUGCAGCUGGAAAGUCAGUUUAAGCUCAGAGAACAGGAAAUUCAGUUGAAACUUAGGGAGCAGGAAAUGCAGGCUAAUCUCAGGGAGAAAGAAAUUCAGGUAGAACAACGUAAACUGGAUUUGGAAGAAGAGCGGAGACGCGAGGCGGCGCGUGUGUCUGGUGUACGGACUGUGUUAAUCCUGGAGAAGCAGACUUUGACGUUAACAAGUGCAUUCAAUUUAUCCCACCGUUCAUUGAAAAGGAUGUGGAUAAAUAUUUUGUUAUGUUUUGUUUGAGCGUGUGGCGUCGAUGUUAAAGUGGCCGAGGGAGGUUUGGCCGUUGUGCUUUCAGGUAAAGCUCAGGAGGCGUAUGCUUCGUUAUCACUGGAAGAUAGUUUGGUUAUGACAAAGUGAAAAGCGCUGUGGAGAGAGCAUAUGAGCUUGUGCCAGAGGCAUAUAGACAGAAAUUUCAGUGUUACAAAAAACUUGAUCAUCAAAAUUAUGUGGAGUUUGGACGUGACAAAACUGCGUUGUUUGUUGGUGCGCUUCACAAAAUGUUAAAAAUUUUGAUCAGCUGCGAGAGCUAAUUUUGAUGGCAUUCAAGAACUGUGUACCAGAAAGGAUUGCAACUUAUAUCAGUGAACAAAAGACUGUGAAUGUCUCAGAUGCUGCUAUUUUGGCGGACAAGUACGUAUUGACUCAUAUGUCUUUUUCACAAAAUGUGACUCCAAACCUGAGUCUUGGUUCCAGUGUGCCAAGAGAGGGGCAUUCAGAGGGCUCUGGGCGGUCCAGCUGGGUGAAACAGGGGGAUGUCAGGAACUCUGUUUUGCGUGAUAGUGAUCGGGUGUGUCACUAUUGUUAUAAGCGUGGGCACAUAAAAGCAGAUUGUGUUCUGCUAAAGUCAAGAACGUCUCUUAAGCCCAAACGAUUAGGUUUAGCUGCGCCAGUGCGUAAUGUUGUGGAAUUUAAGGUGGAAAACAUGAGCUCUGAACCGUGUGACUCGUACUUGCCUUUCAUCCAUGAGGGAUUUGUCUUAUUGGUGGGAGAUGAUAAAAAGGUGCGUGUCAAAAUUUUGUGUGGCACAGGGGUGUUUGACUCAUUUAUCCAAGCUGAUGUGUUGCCGCUGUCUGAGGAGUCAGAGACAGGCACGCGGGUUCCAGUUUGAGGUAUGGGUCUUAACGUGCUCUUUGUGCCGUUGCAUAAAGUGUCACUUGACUGAACUUCAGUGGAGAUGCAGUUUUGACUGUUCAUCCUGCAUUGCCAGUGGAAGGUGUUUCUGUUAUAUUGGGCAAUGGUUUGGCUGGUGUGCGUUUGUGGAAGGACGCUGCUGGGUCAGCUGUACAGAAGGAGGCAGAGGCAGUUCCUUGUUUGCUUCCUCAGACUGAUGAGUGCAGUAAACAGUUCCCCCAGGUGUUCACUGCGUGUGCGGUUAUUCGGGCUAUGGCACGGAAUGAAGUUAAGAAGGGGAAAUGUGGAAAAAAAAUGUUCAUGUACCUCUGUCUGAUUUUCCUGUGUCUUUGUCUCGCAGUGAACUGGUGGCGGAGCGACACGCUGACGUGUCUUUAAAAGGCCUUUUUGAUCAGGUGCGUCCAGUGAGUGACAUCGUGGAUUGCGCGUGUGGGUACUUUUUUCAGGAUUCGCUGUUGGUGAGAAAAUGGUUGCCCCAUGUGGGUAUUGUCAGUGAUCCUGUGUUUCAAAUCGUGAUGCCCAGUAAAUUUCGCCCUGCUGUGUUAAAAGUCGCACAUGAUGAGUCUGGACUUUCCGGGGUGACUAAAACAUAUGACCGGAUCCCGAGACAUUUUUUGUCCGCGUCUAAAAAAAUGACGUUUCUGCAUACAGUAAGGAAAAUAAGUAUUUGAACACCCUGCGGUUUUGCAAG